AAUCAAUGAUGAAAGAUAUUCUGAAGCCAAUUACUUGAAAGAAUAUACAUAUUUGGCUUCUGAGAU